rnacentral:rRNA from 1 species
CCUACGGGAGGCAGCAGUAGGGAAUCUUCCACAAUGGGCGUAAGCCUGAUGGAGCAACGCCGCGUGGGUGAAGAAGGUCUUCGGAUCGUAAAACCCUGUUGUUAGAGAAGAAAGUGCGUGAGCGUAACUGUUCACGUUUCGACGGUAUCUAACCAGAAAGCCACGGCUAACUACGUGCCAGCAGCCGCGGUAAUACGAAGGUGGCAAGCGUUAUCCGGAUUUAUUGGGCGUAAAGAGAACGCAGGCGGUCUUUUAAGCCUGAUAUGAAAGCCUUUCGCUUAACCGGAGCAGUG